rnacentral:rRNA from 1 species
AGAGUUUGAUCCUGGCUCAGAAUGAACGCUGACGGCGUGCUUAACACAUGCAAGUCGUACGAGAACUCCCGAGCUUGCUCGGGAUAGUAAAGUGGCGCACGGGUGAGUAUCGCGUGGGUUAUCUACCCUCGAGUUCGGGAUAACAUUGCGAAAGCGGUGCUAAUACCGAAUAAUAUCCUUAGAUUUUCGGAUUUUUGGAUCAAAGGUGGCCUCUAUUUAUAAGCUACCACUUGAGGAGGAGCCCGCGUACCAUUAGCUAGUUGGCGGGGUAAUGGCCCACCAAGGCUGCGAUGGUUAGCUGGUCUGAGAGGAUGAUCAGCCACACUGGAACUGACACACGGUCCAGACUCCUACGGGAGGCAGCAGUGAGGAAUCUUGCGCAAUGGGGGAAACCCUGACGCAGCAACGCCGCGUGAGUGAUGAAGGCUUUCGGGUCGUAAAGCUCUGUCAAGUGGGAAGAAACUGCCAUAUAUUAAUAAUAUUUGGCACUGACGGUACCACUGAAGGAAGCACCGGCUAACUCCGUGCCAGCAGCCGCGGUAACACGGGGGGAGCAAGCGUUGUCCGGAAUUACUAGGCGUAAAGGGCAAGUAGGCGGAAUUGUAAGUCAGAUGUUAAAGGCACUGGCUCAACCGGUGUACGGCAUUUGAUACUGUGAUUCUAGAGUAAGGUGGGGGAAGAUGGAAUUCCUGGUGUAGCGGUGGAAUGCGCAGAUAUCAGGAAGAACACCAGAGGCGAAGGCGAUCUUCUAUACCAUUACUGACGGUAUAUUGCGAAGGUGUGGCUAUCAUACAGGAUUAGAUACCCUGGUAGUACACACAGUAAACGAUAUACAUCUAGGUGUUGGGGGAGAUGAUCUUACAGUGCCGUAGCUAACGCGUUAAGUGUAUCGCCUGGGUAGUACGAUCGCAAGGUUUAUAUCUCAAAGGAAUUGACGGGGGCCCGCACAAGCGGUGGAGCAUGUGGUUUAAUUCGAUGCAACGCGAAGAAUCUUACCUGGGCUUGACAUCCUGGGAAACCUGUAUAGAUACCGGGGUGCCCUUUCGGGGGAACCCAGUGACACGUGCUGCAUGGCUGUCGUCAGCUCGUGUCGUGAGAUGUUUGGUUCAGUCCAGCAACGAACGCAACCCCUAUCUUUAGUUACCAUCAUUAAGUUGGGGACUCUAAAGAUACUGCCCCGGUCAACGGGGAGGAAGGUGGGGAUGACGUCAAGUCCUCAUGGCCUUUAUAUCCAGGGCUACACACGUGCUACAAUGGGCUGUACAAAGGGUCGCAAACUCGCGAGGGUGAGCUAAUCCCAUAAAGCAGCUCUAAGUUCGGAUUGGAGUCUGCAACUCGACUCCAUGAAGUUGGAAUCGCUAGUAAUCGCGGAUCAGCAUGCCGCGGUGAAUACGUUCCCGGGCCUUGUACACACCGCCCGUCACACCAUGAGAGUUGGUUGUACCAGAAGUUGUUGGGCCAACCCGCAAGGGGGGUAGGCACCUAAGGUAUGGCUGAU